GCCCCGGUAGCCCAAACGGCAGAGGCGGCCCGCUCAAACCGGGUCCAGUGUGGGUUCGAAUCCCACCCGGGGCU
rnacentral:tRNA from 1 species